GACCCUGGUGCUCCGGACGUCCGUGUAGCUGGUGAGCGCCGCCUCCAUGGACCGCACCACGCCGCUGUAGUCCCCGGAGUAGAACGCCUGCACCGCGGUCUCAUACAGGAGGUCGCAGGGCUCCAGGAACGUGGCGGAGGAUGCCAGGGAGAGCAGGAGCACGGAGCACAGAGCAGCCGGGGAGAAGUUCACAUCCAUCCUCUGCGGAGGUUCAGGCCGUGAGGAGCGAGCUUCAGGCGGACAGCGGGAUGUCAGUCACCGGGGCUCCACGUGUCCGGAGCUCCAGCUUCUCCUGCGGGGCUGACAUCACAGAGAGAGGGGGGGGUCCUUCAGGGAACUCCGCAGGAAGCCGCCUCCACACGGUCUGCUGAUCAGGCUCCAGCCCCACCACAAGUAUUCAUAAUGAAGGUCACAAACUUUGUUCAGGUGAUGGUAAAAGAUGCAGAUGGGAGGAAAGUGGAAAGAAAAAAGUUUGGGUCCCUUCUCCAGAUAAAGUUACCCGAGAUGUGCCUGAAAAAGACAAAUGAGCCUAAGAAACUAAAAACAAUCACAAAAUAGACAUUUAUAAUCCACAUUUAUUGUGAAUGUGUCUGUGAUGAGUUGUUUUAUAUUCUUUGUAACUUUGUUUUCAAACCGAGGAACUUUAUGAAUAACUGUGAAUGUUUUGAUUCACUGACUCAAUUAACUAAUUAACUAGCUAACGAGCUAACAUCUGUCCAGGGACUAAAGAUGACAAAUUGUUAACUAAAGAGCAUGUAUUAUUGGACACCAUCCAUGUUAAAUACACUGGAAGGCUAAAUAGGAGUUUUAAUAAAAAAGUUUAAAAUAUUUGAGUUGCUUGGUAGAUACUUUUGUUUUGUAAGAUGUUAAAAGCUCCAGAUGUGAGGAAAUUGGAAAGAAAAAGUCUGGUUCCCUCCCUCAAAUAAAGUGACCUAAGAUGUGCCUAAAAAAUAAAGGAGCCUAAGAAUCCACAAACAAUCCCAAGAUCGAGUUAAAUAAAUUAAAGUACUUCCAUAUUAAAUCCAAAUUUAUAGUUAAUGUGUCUGUGGAAGGUUAUUUUAUAUUAUUUAUAACUUUGUUUCAUACUCUGCUGAGGAAUCUUAGGCAUAACUUUAUGUUUAUAUUAACUAACGAACUAACGAACUAACUAACUAGCAUCUGUCCUGGGAAUUAAGAUGAAAAACAUUAUUGUUGACUUGGAGCAUUUGAUUAAGUAUAUUUAAUAAUGAGCAUCUAUUACUGAGACUAAGUAAAAAUAAAUAGGAUUCAAAUACGCAAGUUGAUUUGAAGAAAUUUCAGAAAGAUGAUAGUAUUUUAAUUUAUGAUGAGAUAUGCAGUUAUGUAUUAAUACUGGCAUGCUUGUCUUCUGGAAGUUUAUUUUUUUCAGGAGGUUCAGUCAGAUUCUGUCCACUGUAAUACACCGUCUCCCUCUUGAGGAAAUGUUUGGUAACAGCAUGAAAACAUCCAGGACAACAUUGAAUCUUUGAAGUUGAAUAAAUAAACCCCAUCAACCUGUUAAACAGCCUCUUUGACAGAAUAGAAAGAAUAGAAGCUACAGGUAUGUGGUCCAGCAGGUGUAACGCACCUCUGUGAACCAAUAAGGAGUGUUUGUGUUGUUUCAUUCUUCAUGUGAGUGUACGUGUGUGUGUGUAAGAGAGUUUAGUCUGAGUCCAAACUUUAAUCAGCCACCGAAAACUGACUGAAACAUGUCUGUGUGAUUGUUUAAAAGAUCAUAUCAAGCAAAAGUUUUAACACAUGUGACCUAACAACAAACUGUGAGAGUUAGUACAUGAGGAUUCCACAAUUAAGAGAGCAGAAAACACAGGAGACAGGUUUUAUGUGGAGGAAAUUUCCUGAAGUUGCGGUCUCAGAGAAAACCCACUAACUUUUCUCUUUACUGUCAUUGCUCAUCUGAAAGACUCUUAACCCUCGCCUAUGCACUGCUCUUAAUGUGCAGUGCAUCGUUUGAUAUUGUACCAUUUUAUAUUAGACAUUUUUGUGAAUUUGUGGAAUAAUGUUACACAAAUAGGCCUCCUGGAAAAGAUUCACAUCUACUGAGGUGUUUCUCUGAUACAGAUGAGUUCAGUUUGUAAAGACUUUAUUUGUAUCUGUGCACUGUAAACAAAAUUUACAGUAUGGACAUGUGAGCUGUUUACGAGAAUGACACCAAGAUUGUAGAACUUUUACAGAAAUACUUAUUUUAUUAGUUAAAUGUGUUUGACCAUAAUUAUCAUUAAUUGCACAAAGACACUAAAAUCAUAAGAGACAAAGAUGUUAAUUUGAACAAAUCUGCUUGUUUGUACAAAGUUUGUAAAAUACAUUUUAAAAUUUGUAUUUUAGAAAUGUAAUAACAAUAUCAAUACAACUCAACAAGCAGAAGAGACUAUAGUCCCUCCAGGAGAUUUCAUCAGGUCCCAGAUGUGUUGAAUUCAAUAGACCUACGUGAUCAAUGACUUAUCACAUUUGUGGUUGUUGAAAUUGGUUGAACUUGUGAAUGAUCUUUGAUGUGUUCCUCUGCCCUUUAUGUUUUCUAAUGAACAUACUAUAGUUUAAGGGAGUCUUAAUGAGAUUAAUAAUAAAACUAAAGUAACUCCAUGCAAGUCCAACUAUUCAGGCUGAACUACUUUCCUCAAGGAGGAGGAGGAACGGUUUAAUUCAUAUGUUCAAUAAAGUUGAAAACAGGGUGGAAUCAAUCCAAAUGCUCUGAGUAUGAAAAACAGUUGAAAGUUGAAUUGACCAGGAAGUUGACUGGUUACUUUACAUAGCGCCACUGCCACAAAUACCUCAAUUGCACAGUUUACCAUUUUCUCCAGUUUUAUUUUCACUUCUUGUCAGGAUUCAGGAAGUGAGUCACUGAGUCACUCCCAUGAGAGAUUCUAACAUGAUGCUUAUCUUCAUACUUUCCUCUUGAUUAUACAUCUGUUUUUGUUGUUUCAUUUUCAACGCGAUGUGAGAAGUACUACAAAGCUUUAUCGUUCACUAUUUAAGCAGGAGUUGUGAUACACAUAUUUUUCUAAGCUGGAAUUAUUCAGAAAUCCUCUCCCCUUUUCCAAUAAAUUCUCUAUUUGAGUGCACAGUGGUAACCGUUGUAGCAGAUACCAUUAAAUACCUUGUGUUGUGUACAAAUAUACAUAUAAAAGUUUACUUAAUCGUAUUUAAAAUCAUUUAUAAUGGUAAAUCUUUAUCUAUAAUCAAAAUGUGUUUGUCAGUAAUUUGCUGAGUUAUACAAAGAUGUCUAAGCAAUCUUAAAACAAGUUCAACAACAUUACUGAAAACAAAUUUUUUUUAUUUUUUCAUCUCAAAAUGUACAAACUGUGAUCUUUGUAAUUUCCGUAGAAUGUAGAAAAACAACUUGAUGAGUUACGGGACUAAAGAUGUGAAACCUUAGUCAUGAAAUGUACAACAUAAACAAACAUUCAAUCUGUAUAAAACUGAAGAGGUAAAGGGAAAUGACCUGUUCAGAAAAGUACACUGUAAAAAAAGUACAGACGUCCUGCUACACAGUGAAAAACUUUACAGCUCCACUGUAAACUAUUCAAACAAGUGUUCUUCACUGCAGCUGAGAAGAGAAACUUUAUGAUUUCAUAUGAAUUCAAACAGGCCGACAAAGUCCAAUGUGUUUAAAAUGGACGCGAGAAUAAACAACAACAUGGAAAUGACUGGCUGGAUGUAGCACGAUAUUUACAACAAUCAAGUUGUCCCCCCGACUACACGUAGUUGGACUUGGCGUUAGUGGUGGGCCGGUGGAGGGUGGAGUUUCUGGACUCAGGUGAUUCAGACCGUGAGCAUCGACGACAGCUCAGGAAGGUGCCACCGGCCAUAGUGAGGAGGCCCCCGACCCAGCUGACAAACACCGCC